rnacentral:misc_RNA from 1 species
UCCGGUUUGGCACCGGCAGUCGGACUAGAGUCCCCGACAUUACUCGCUGGCAACUAAGGGCAAGGGUUGCGCUCGUUGCGGGACUUAACCCAACAUCUCACGACACGAGCUGACGACAACCAUGCACCACCUGUAUACCGACCUUGCGGGGCGACGAUCUCUCGCCGUUUCCGGUAUAUGUCAAGCCUUGGUAAGGUUCUUCGCGUUGCAUCGAAUUAAUCCGCAUGCUCCGCCGCUUGUGCGGGUCCCCGUCAAUUCCUUUGAGUUUCAGCCUUGCGGCCGUACUCCCCAGGCGGAGUGCUUAAUGCGUUUACUGCAGCACUAAAGGGCGGAAACCCUAUAACACUUAGCACUCAUCGUUUACGGCGUGGACUAC